GCUUCCUCUAUAUGGAAAUGACCUGUUUCCACUCAUCAGACUGGGGGUGAGAGUGACUGCAGACGUUCUGGGAGGACCGCUGUAUCUCCUCUACACACACCAUUGGAAUACGUAUUCAGAUUUAAUGGAAACUAUUGGAAUUUAAAAUGCAUAACAUUUUAUCUGGUUGAAGCCAAUCCUGUGGGAGUGGUGCAGCCCACGCUGAGCGUCCUCCCUCCCUCCAGAGUGGAGCUGGAGCAGGGCAGUGCUACACUGCUGUGUGUGGCCAGUGGGGGCUUCCCCUCAGACUGGAAGCUUUGCUGGAAGGUGGGGGGCAGCAGCAGGUCUGGGGGGAUGUCAGAUAGCCUGGGGGUCCUGGGGAAAGAUGGCCACUACAGCUGGAGCAGCACCUUGACCCUCCCUGCAGACCAGUGGAGGAUGGCGGGCUCAGUGAGCUGUGAGGCCAGUAAGAAUGGCCAGACGCAGCCUGUCACUCAAACCCUGAAUCCUGGAGAGUGUUCAGAGUAGAGAGGCUCCAGCAUGGAGGUACUGGAGGAUACAGAUCUCCUCUGACACGUCUGCUUUAUGUCUCUCUGUCUCAGGUGGCACCGCUACUUCUGUUGAUUUACAUUGAUAUAACACGCAUUUGAUUCAUUAACAUGAUGCUCUUUAGAUUUUACCCCUUGCUUGUGUUGGUCACAUGUUGAACAUGUAAUAAAGAUUUAAAGAAUAAAUUCAUUAAAUAUCAUUUAUCUUCUGUAUUUGAAAUUGAAUGCUGCUUCUAUUGAGCAUAUAAAACCUCUGCUAUCUUCAUUAAACAAAUUUCACAACCAUUAUGAA